GGCGGCGUGGUUAAGACAUGCAAGUCGAACGGGACUUUGUUGGUAGCAAUAUUAAUAAAGUCUAGUGGCAGACGGGUGCGUAACACGUGAACAAUCUACCAUAAAGUGGGGAAUAGCUCGUCGAAAGGCGAAUUAAUACCGCAUGUGGUUAAUUCCUGCAUGGGAGUUAAACUAAAGUCAGGGACCGCAAGGCCUGACGCUUUAUGAGGAGUUCGCGGCCUAUCAGCUAGUUGGCGAGGUAACGGCUCACCAAGGCAAAGACGGGUAGCUGGUCUGAGAGGAUGAUCAGCCACACUGGAACUGAGACACGGUCCAGACUCCUACGGGAGGCAGCAGUGAGGAAUAUUGCGCAAUGGGGGCAACCCUGACGCAGCAACGCCGCGUGAGUGAGGAAGGUUUUCGGACCGUAAAGCUCUGUCGAGCGGGAAGAAAUGCAUGGUGGCUAAUAUCCAUCAUGCUUGACGGUACCGCUAAAGGAAGCACCGGCUAACUCCGUG
rnacentral:rRNA from 1 species